GCCCUCUCAGGAUGGCAUCUGGAGAGCUUCCAGUAAUCUACCGGUCUCAGCUACAAGAGGGAGAGUCAAGCAGAGGCAUAUCCGUUCCAUUCCUAGCUUGGGCAGUGGCUAGCCAGUGGAAGGCAAUCUGCUACAAGU